rnacentral:misc_RNA from 1 species
AACGAGGCCGACCUGCGGCUGAGUUACCUGCGGAAGGAUCAUUACCGAAGUACAGGCCCUCUUGUAGGGCUAAACUUCCACCCUUUGUUUACUAUUCUUUGUUGCUUUGGCGAGACGUCCUCGGACCACCGGCUCUCGGGCUGGUGCGCGCUCGCCAGAGGAAAAUCAAACCCAAACCAUUUUUAGUGUCGUCUGAUAAACAAGUUUAAUUAUUAAAACUUUCAACAACGGAUCUCAGAU